ensembl:snRNA U6 U6 spliceosomal RNA
GUGCUCGAUUCAGCAGUACAUAUACUAAAAUUGGAACAAUACAGAGAAGAUCAGCAUGGCCCCUGCUCGAGGAGGCAGUGUUUAUUUUUGACUCACAGUUUC